AUGCCUCUCUCCAGUCUGCUCUGGGUGUUCCUGGCCUUCACCUUCUCUGGAUCUGGUGUGGCCCAGAAAGCUACUCAAUAUCAGCCAGACAUAAUCAGUCAAGUGCAGAACGUGGUCACCCUGAACUGUCGGUAUGAAAAAAGUUGGAACGUGUACACCUACUGGAUAUUUUGGUACGAGCAGCUUCCCAGUGGAGAGAUGACUUACCUCAAUCGUCAGUAUUCAGAAGAUGGGAAUGAAAGGGACGGCCACUACUCUGUAAACUUCCAGAAAGCACGUCAAUUCAUCAGCCUCACCAUUUCAUCCUUAAAGCUGGAACAUGCUGGAAAAUACUUUUGUGCUCUCUUGGAACUCACAGUGCUUGAAAUAAUAGGAAAAGCUGAACAAAAACCCCAGAGCUUAAUAAGAGAGAGCCCCCCUGCUGUGGGACCCAGGUUGAAAUGCACAGCUGCAGACCCCAGACAAGAAAUAGUAGUCCUGUGGUUCCUUAAUCUGUGA